rnacentral:rRNA from 1 species
AUACGGAGGCGGCUAGCGUUGUUCGGAAUUACUGGGCGUAAAGCGCACGUAGGCGGACUGAUCAGUUGGGGGUGAAAUCCCAGGGCUCAACCCUGGAACUGCCUCCAAUACUGUCAGUCUUGAGAUCGGAAGAGGUGAGUGGAAUUCCUAGUGUAGAGGUGAAAUUCGUAGAUAUUAGGAGGAACACCAGUGGCGAAGGCGGCUCACUGGUCCGAUACUGACGCUGAGGUGCGAAAGCGUGGGGAGCAAACAGGAUUAGAAACCCUAGUAGUCC